AACGAACGCUGGCGGCAUGCCUAACACAUGCAGGUCGAACGAAGCCUUCGGGCUUAGUGGCGCACGGGUGCGUAACGCGUGGGAAUCUGCCCCUUGCUUCGGAAUAACAGUUAGAAAUGACUGCUAAUACCGGAUGAAGUCUUCGGACCAAAGAUUUAUCGGCAAGGGAUGAGCCCGCGUAGGAUUAGGUAGUUGGUGGGGUAAAGGCCUACCAAGCCGACGAUCCUUAGCUGGUCUGAGAGGAUGAUCAGCCACACUGGGACUGAGACACGGCCCAGACUCCUACGGGAGGCAGCAGUGGGGAAUAUUGGACAAUGGACGCAAGUCUGAUCCAGCAAUGCCGCGUGAGUGAUGAAGGCCUUAGGGUUGUAAAGCUCUUUUACCAGGGAUGAUAAUGACAGUACCUGGAGAAUAAGCUCCGGCUAACUCCGUG
rnacentral:rRNA from 1 species